rnacentral:rRNA from 1 species
GGGUUGUGAGGUUAAGCGACUAAGCGUACACGGUGGAUGCCCUGGCAGUCAGAGGCGAUGAAGGACGUGCUAAUCUGCGAUAAGCGUCGGUAAGGUGAUAUGAACCGUUAUAACCGGCGAUUUCCGAAUGGGGAAACCCAGUGUGWUUCGWCACACUAUCAUUAACUGAAUCCAUAGGUUAAUGAGGCGAACCGGGGGAACUGAAACAUCUAAGUACCCCGAGGAAAAGAAAUCAACCGAGAUUCCCCCAGUAGCGGCGAGCGAACGGGGAGCAGCCCAGAGCCUGAAUCAGUGUGUGUGUUAGUGGAAGCGUCUGGAAAGGCGCGCGAUACAGGGUGACAGCCCCGUACACAAAAAUGCACAURCUGUGAGCUCGAUGAGUAGGGCGGGACACGUGGUAUCCUGUCUGAAUAUGGGGGGACCAUCCUCCAAGGCUAAAUACUCCUGACUGACCGAUAGUGAACCAGUACCGUGAGGGAAAGGCGAAAAGAACCCCGGCGAGGGGAGUGAAAAAGAACCUGAAACCGUGUACGUACAAGCAGUGGGAGCACGCUUAGGCGUGUGACUGCGUACCUUUUGUAUAAUGGGUCAGCGACUUAUAUUCUGUAGCAAGGUUAACCGAAUAGGGGAGCCGAAGGGAAACCGAGUCUUAACUGGGCGUUAAGUUGCAGGGUAUAGACCCGAAACCCGGUGAUCUAGCCAUGGGCAGGUUGAAGGUUGGGUAACACUAACUGGAGGACCGAACCGACUAAUGUUGAAAAAUUAGCGGAUGACUUGUGGCUGGGGGUGAAAGGCCAAUCAAACCGGGAGAUAGCUGGUUCUCCCCGAAAGCUAUUUAGGUAGCGCCUCGUGAAUUCAUCUCCGGGGGUAGAGCACUGUUUCGGCAAGGGGGUCAUCCCGACUUACCAACCCGAUGCAAACUGCGAAUACCGGAGAAUGUUAUCACGGGAGACACACGGCGGGUGCUAACGUCCGUCGUGAAGAGGGAAACAACCCAGACCGCCAGCUAAGGUCCCAAAGUCAUGGUUAAGUGGGAAACGAUGUGGGAAGGCCCAGACAGCCAGGAUGUUGGCUUAGAAGCAGCCAUCAUUUAAAGAAAGCGUAAUAGCUCACUGGUCGAGUCGGCCUGCGCGGAAGAUGUAACGGGGCUAAACCAUGCACCGAAGCUGCGGCAGCGACGCUUAUGCGUUGUUGGGUAGGGGAGCGUUCUGUAAGCCUGYGAAGGUGURCUGUGAGGYAUGCUGGAGGUAUCAGAAGUGCGAAUGCUGACAUAAGUAACGAUAAAGCGGGUGAAAAGCCCGCUCGCCGGAAGACCAAGGGUUCCUGUCCAACGUUAAUCGGGGCAGGGUGAGUCGACCCCUAAGGCGAGGCCGAAAGGCGUAGUCGAUGGGAAACAGGUUAAUAUUCCUGUACUUGGUGUUACUGCGAAGGGGGGACGGAGAAGGCUAUGUUGGCCGGGCGACGGUUGUCCCGGUUUAAGCGUGUAGGCUGGUUUUCCAGGCAAAUCCGGAAAAUCAAGGCUGAGGCGUGAUGACGAGGCACUACGGUGCUGAAGCAACAAAUGCCCUGCUUCCAGGAAAAGCCUCUAAGCAUCAGGUAACAUCAAAUCGUACCCCAAACCGACACAGGUGGUCAGGUAGAGAAUACCAAGGCGCUUGAGAGAACUCGGGUGAAGGAACUAGGCAAAAUGGUGCCGUAACUUCGGGAGAAGGCACGCUGAUAUGUAGGUGAAGUCCCUCGCGGAUGGAGCUGAAAUCAGUCGAAGAUACCAGCUGGCUGCAACUGUUUAUUAAAAACACAGCACUGUGCAAACACGAAAGUGGACGUAUACGGUGUGACGCCUGCCCGGUGCCGGAAGGUUAAUUGAUGGGGUYAGCGCAAGCGAAGCUCUUGAUCGAAGCCCCGGUAAACGGCGGCCGUAACUAUAACGGUCCUAAGGUAGCGAAAUUCCUUGUCGGGUAAGUUCCGACCUGCACGAAUGGCGUAAUGAUGGCCAGGCUGUCUCCACCCGAGACUCAGUGAAAUUGAACUCGCUGUGAAGAUGCAGUGUACCCGCGGCAAGACGGAAAGACCCCGUGAACCUUUACUAUAGCUUGACACUGAACAUUGAGCCUUGAUGUGUAGGAUAGGUGGGAGGCUUUGAAGUGUGGACGCCAGUCUGCAUGGAGCCGACCUUGAAAUACCACCCUUUAAUGUUUGAUGUUCUAACGUGGACCCGUAAUCCGGGUUGCGGACAGUGUCUGGUGGGUAGUUUGACUGGGGCGGUCUCCUCCUAAAGAGUAACGGAGGAGCACGAAGGUUGGCUAAUCCUGGUCGGACAUCAGGAGGUUAGUGCAAUGGCAUAAGCCAGCUUGACUGCGAGCGUGACGGCGCGAGCAGGUGCGAAAGCAGGUCAUAGUGAUCCGGUGGUUCUGAAUGGAAGGGCCAUCGCUCAACGGAUAAAAGGUACUCCGGGGAUAACAGGCUGAUACCGCCCAAGAGUUCAUAUCGACGGCGGUGUUUGGCACCUCGAUGUCGGCUCAUCACAUCCUGGGGCUGAAGUAGGUCCCAAGGGUAUGGCUGUUCGCCAUUUAAAGUGGUACGCGAGCUGGGUUUAGAACGUCGUGAGACAGUUCGGUCCCUAUCUGCCGUGGGCGCUGGAGAACUGAGGGGGGCUGCUCCUAGUACGAGAGGACCGGAGUGGACGCAUCACUGGUGUUCGGGUUGUCAUGCCAAUGGCACUGCCCGGUAGCUAAAUGCGGAAGAGAUAAGUGCUGAAAGCAUCUAAGCACGAAACUUGCCCCGAGAUGAGUUCUCCCUGACUCCUUGAGAGUCCUGAAGGAACGUUGAAGACGACGACGUUGAUAGGCCGGGUGUGUAAGCGCAGCGAUGCGUUGAGCUAACCGGUACUAAUGAACCGUGAGGCUUAACCUUACAACGCCGAAGSUGUU